rnacentral:rRNA from 1 species
GAUGGACGCUGGCGGCGUGCCUAAUACAUGCAAGUCGAGCGAACGGACGAGAAGCUUGCUUCUCUGAUGUUAGCGGCGGACGGGUGAGUAACACGUGGAUAACCUACCUAUAAGACUGGGAUAACUUCGGGAAACCGUAGCUAAUACCGGAUAAUAUUUUGAACCGCAUGGUUCAAAAGUGAAAGACGGUCUUGCUGUCACUUAUAGAUGGAUCCGCGCUGCAUUAGCUAGUUGGUAAGGUAACGGCUUACCAAGGCAACGAUGCAUAGCCGACCUGAGAGGGUGAUCGGCCACACUGGAACUGAGACACGGUCCAGACUCCUACGGGAGGCAGCAGUAGGGAAUCUUCCGCAAUGGGCGAAAGCCUGACGGAGCAACGCCGCGUGAGUGAUGAAGGUCUUCGGAUCGUAAAACUCUGUUAUUAGGGAAGAACAUAUGUGUAAGUAACUGUGCACAUCUUGACGGUACCUAAUCAGAAAGCCACGGCUAACUACGUG